UAUGGCCAUAUCUCGUUGAAACACCGGUUCCCUAUGAUCCCCAAAGUUAAGCAUCGUCAAGCCUGGUCAAUACCUAGAUCGGUGACCACUUGGGAAUACCAUGUGUUGUAAG